AGACCUUGACAUCCUUAGAAUUAUAUAGAGAUAUAUGAGUGCCUUAGCAAUAAGGAACUAAGAGACAGGUGGUGCAUGGCUGUCGACAGCUCGUGUUGUGAGAUGUUGGGUUAAGUCCCGCAACGAGCGAAACCCCUAUCAUCAGUUGCCAUCAUUAAGUUGGGGACUCUGAUGAAACUGCCUGCGACGAGCAGGAGGAAGGUGGGGAUGACGUCAAGUCAUCAUGCCCCUUAUGGUCUGGGCUACACACGUGCUACAAUGGAUAGUACAAAGAGAAGCAAUUUAGAGAUAAAGAGCAAACCUUAAAAGCUAUUCUAAGUUCGGAUUGAAGUCUGCAACUCGACUUCAUGAAGUUGGAAUCACUAGUAAUCGUGAAUCAGCAAUGUCACGGUGAAUACGUUCUCGGGCC
rnacentral:rRNA from 1 species